AUUGAACGCUGGCGGCAGGCCUAACACAUGCAAGUCGAGCGGAUGAAGGGAGCUUGCUCCUGGAUUCAGCGGCGGACGGGUGAGUAAUGCCUAGGAAUCUGCCUGGUAGUGGGGGAUAACGUCCGGAAACGGGCGCUAAUACCGCAUACGUCCUGAGGGGGAAAGUGGGGGAUCUUCGGACCUCACGCUAUCAGAUGAGCCUAGGUCGGAUUAGCUAGUUGGUGGGGUAAAGGCCUACCAAGGCGUCGAUCCGUAACUGGUCUGAGAGGAUGAUCAGUCACACUGGAACUGAGACACGGUCCAGACUCCUACGGGAGGCAGCAGUGGGGAAUAUUGGACAAUGGGCGAAAGCCUGAUCCAGCCAUGCCGCGUGUGUGAAGAAGGUCUUCGGAUUGUAAAGCACUUUAAGUUGGGAGGAAGGGCAGUAAGUUAAUACCUUGCUGUUUUGACGUUACCAACAGAAUAAGCACCGGCUAACUUCGUG
rnacentral:rRNA from 1 species